AAUGCAUAGCGGAAGCGUCCAAAUUUUUUUUUAUUAUAAAAAAACCUGACCCCCAGGGUAUACCAGAUCCGCCACAAAUACAGGGAGUCCACUGUUCACACGGACAGAGUCUCCCCUGUAUUUACACGGCGUCGCACAAGUACAAGACAUAUAACCAGGAUACAACUACUACAAAUGAAUAUACAACAUUCAACCAUUUAUUUAUUCAUACACCAUUCACAACAGAUUUGCAUUUAGAGUUUAAUCAUAAAUCCACGAAAACCUUUUUAAAUCUAUUUUCCACACGGAAACCUUUUUCUUUAAACGCUACCACGAGGGGUAGAAAACCAUUUUCAAUACUUUACAUGAAAAU
rnacentral:lncRNA from 1 species